GGAGGGGUGCCGGAGCGGUCGAACGGGGCGGUCUCGAAAACCGUUGUGCGCUAUGCGUACCGUGGGUUCGAAUCCCACCCCCUCCGCCA
rnacentral:tRNA from 1 species